rnacentral:misc_RNA from 1 species
UGAAUUAAUUAUAAUCAUUAAGAAGCCUUGUGCUUCUCUUUUGGAGUAGUAAUAUCUCACGUUUAAAUUUCCCAGGUUUGAAAUCCUGGCAUUACUCAUGUUUGUCAGUUGAUCAUAUCCUGCUUCUGUGAUGAAUCUAUCUUAUGAUUUUUAAUUGAUCAGUUUUAAGGUAUACAUUUUAAGUUGCUGAUGCCAUGUUCCUGUUCUAAUGUUUUCCAUCAUGUAUGUGCAUUAUAGA